rnacentral:misc_RNA from 1 species
AACGCACAUUGCACCUCAUGGUAUUCCGUGAGGUAUACAUGUUCGAGCGUCGUUUAAAACCAUAAGACUUUGUCUUGCGUUGACGUUGUCCGAUGCGUAGUCGGAACGUUGAAAAUGAUGGGCGCACGGAUCGUUCGAGCAAAGCAACAAACUGCGGAGCUUUUGAAUGGGACGGGCCGCCAGGUGUUUUAUCUAUUUUAACGUUCGACCUCGAAUCAUGUAGGAUUACCCGCUGAACUUAA